GAUGAACGCUGGCGGCGUGCCUAAUACAUGCAAGUCGAGCGAACAGACGAGGAGCUUGCUCCUCUGACGUUAGCGGCGGACGGGUGAGUAGCACGUGGAUAACCUACCUAUAAGACUGGGAUAACUUCGGGAAACCGGAGCUAAUACCGGAUAAUAUAUUGAACCGCAUGGUUCAAUAGUGAAAGACGGUUUUGCUGUCACUUAUAGAUGGAUCCGCGCCGCAUUAGCUAGUUGGUAAGGUAACGGCUUACCAAGGCGACGAUGCGUAGCCGACCUGAGAGGGUGAUCGGCCACACUGGAACUGAGACACGGUCCAGACUCCUACGGGAGGCAGCAGUAGGGAAUCUUCCGCAAUGGGCGAAAGCCUGGCGGAGCAACGCCGCGUGAGUGAUGAAGGUCUUCGGAUCGUAAAACUCUGUUAUUAGGGAAGAACAAAUGUGUAAGUAACUAUGCACGUCUUGACGGUACCUAAUCAGAAAGCCACGGCUAACUACGUG
rnacentral:rRNA from 1 species